UCUGGGUAGUCUGCACCAUGGCCUGGGCCCCACUCCUGCUCACCCUCAUCCUUCACUGCACAGGGUCCCUCUCACAGCUUGCACUGACUCAGCCGCCCUCUGCAUCUGCCUCCCCGGGAGCCUCGGUCAAGCUCACCUGCACCUUGGACAGUGGGCAUAGCAGCUAUACCAUUGCAUGGCACCAGCAGCAGCCAGGGAAGGCCCCUCGGUACUUGAUGUAUGUUAGCAGUAAUGGAAACCAUAACAAGGGGGACGGGAUCCCUGACCGCUUCUCGGGCUCCAGCUCUGGGGCUGACCGCUACUUAACCAUCUCCAACCUCCAGUCUGAGGACGAGGCUGACUAUUACUGUCAGACCUGGGGCUCUGAUAUUAACUCACAGUGACACAGGCAGAUGAGGAAGUGGGACAAAAACCUCAGCCUGCUC